GUAAAGAUUUGUUUUCUGCAUCUUCUUCAUCAUCGUCUGUCUUUUCAUCCAUCUAUUCCGGGUUUUUUUUCAUUAAUCCAUAUCGACAUUUGUUUACAAUAUGCCUGGGUCAUCUUCAUCUUCAUUAAGUAUCAGAGAACCCUGUUUCUGUAGGCAUAUGAAAAAAGCAGAUGAGAUAAUUCUGGUAAUUAAUAUUUCAUAUUUUCUGUUGUUAUUAUUAUAUUAAAUUUGUUACACUUU